rnacentral:snRNA from 1 species
GCGAAGCACUCGAAGAUCGUCU